GAUUUCUGGUAUGGUGCGCCUGACCCACAGUCGAAAGGCUCGUGAAGUGUCGGUGUGCGUCUGCCAUCCUUCUAGGAAUCCUAUCUCACUUCACUGGGAGGUAGGUGAACUAGAUCUUUUACUUUGAAAAAAUUAGAGUGUUUAAAGCAGGCUUGCGCCUUGAAUACAUUAGCAUGGAAUAAUAAUUUAGGACUUUUUUCCUAUUUUGUUGGUUUUAAGGGAUUAAGUAAUGAUUGAUAGGGAUAGUUGGGGGUGCUAGUAUUCAUCGGCCAGAGGUGAAAUUCUUGGAUUCGAUGAAGACUAACUUAUGCGAAAGCAUU
rnacentral:rRNA from 1 species